rnacentral:rRNA from 1 species
UACGUAGGGUGCGAGCGUUUGUCCGGAAUUACUGGGCGUAAAGAGCUCGUAGGUGGUUUGUCGCGUUGUUCGUGAAAACUCACAGCUCAACUGUGGGCGUGCGGGCGAUACGGGCAGACUAGAGUACUGCAGGGGAGACUGGAAUUCCUGGUGUAGCGGUGGAAUGCGCAGAUAUCAGGAGGAACACCGGUGGCGAAGGCGGAUCUCUGGGCCAUUACUGACGCUGAGGAGCGAAAGCGUGGGGAGCGAACAGG